rnacentral:rRNA from 1 species
GACGAACGCUGGCGGCGUGCUUAACACAUGCAAGUCGAACGGAAAGGCCCUGCUUGCCGGGUACUCGAGUGGCGAACGGGUGAGUAACACGUGGGUGAUCUGCCCUGCACUUCGGGAUAAGCCUGGGAAACUGGGUCUAAUACCGGAUAGGAGCCAUUUUCAGUGUGAUGGUUGGAAAGUUUUUUCGGUGUAGGAUGAGCUCGCGGCCUAUCAGCUUGUUGGUGGGGUAAUGGCCUACCAAGGCGGCGACGGGUAGCCGGCCUGAGAGGGUGGACGGCCACAUUGGGACUGAGAUACGGCCCAGACUCCUACGGGAGGCAGCAGUGGGGAAUAUUGCACAAUGGGCGCAAGCCUGAUGCAGCGACGCCGCGUGGGGGAUGACGGCCUUCGGGUUGUAAACUCCUUUCGCUAGGGACGAAGCUUUUUGUGACGGUACCUAGAUAAGAAGCACCGGCUAACUACGUG